UACGGGGGGGGCAAGCGUUGUUCGGAAUUACUGGGCGUAAAGCGUGCGCAGGCGGUUUCGUAAGUCUGUCGUGAAAUCCCCGGGCUUAACCUGGGAAUGGCGAUGGAGACUGCGAGGCUAGAGUUUGGCAGAGGGGGGUAGAAUUCCACGUGUAGCAGUGAAAUGCGUAGAGAUGUGGAGGAACACCGAUGGCGAAGGCAGCCCCCUGGGCUGAGAUUGACGCUCAGGCACGAAAGCGUGGGGAGCAAACAGG
rnacentral:rRNA from 1 species